CAGCCGCCGCGGUAAUACGUAGGGCGCAAGCGUUAUCCGGGAUUAUUGGGCGUAAAGAGCUCGUAGGCGGUUUGUCGCGUCUGCCGUGAAAGUCCGGGGCUCAACCCCGGAUCUGCGGUGGGUACGGGCAGACUAGAGUGAUGUAGGGGAGACUGGAAUUCCUGGUGUAGCGGUGAAAUGCGCAGAUAUCAGGAGGAACGCCGAUGGCGAAGGCAGGUCUCUGGGCAUUAACUGACGCUGAGGAGCGAAAGCAUGGGGAGCGAACAGGAUUAGAUACCCCCGUAGUCCCUGUCUCUUAUAC
rnacentral:rRNA from 1 species